rnacentral:rRNA from 1 species
UUGAUCCCAUGGCUCAGAUUGAACGCUGGCGGCAGGCCUAACACAUGCAAGUCGAGCGGUAGAGAGAAGCUUGCUUCUCUUGAGAGCGGCGGACGGGUGAGUAAUGCCUAGGAAUCUGCCUGGUAGUGGGGGAUAACGCUCGGAAACGGACGCUAAUACCGCAUACGUCCUACGGGAGAAAGCAGGGGACCUUCGGGCCUUGCGCUAUCAGAUGAGCCUAGGUCGGAUUAGCUAGUUGGUGAGGUAAUGGCUCACCAAGGCGACGAUCCGUAACUGGUCUGAGAGGAUGAUCAGUCACACUGGAACUGAGACACGGUCCAGACUCCUACGGGAGGCAGCAGUGGGGAAUAUUGGACAAUGGGCGAAAGCCUGAUCCAGCCAUGCCGCGUGUGUGAAGAAGGUCUUCGGAUUGUAAAGCACUUUAAGUUGGGAGGAAGGGCAUUAACCUAAUACGUUAGUGUUUUGACGUUACCGACAGAAUAAGCACCGGCUAACU